rnacentral:rRNA from 1 species
GACGAACGCUGGCGGCGGGCCUAAUACAUGCAAGUAGAAAGCACAGUUUAUACCGUAGCUUGCUACACCAUAGACUGUGAGUUGCGAACGGGUGAGUAACGCGUAGGUAACCUGCCUGGGAGCGGGGGAUAAAUAUUGGAAACGAUAGCUAAUACCGCAUAAUAUUGAUUAUUGCAUGAUAAUUGAUUGAAAGAUGCUAUUGCAUCAAUACCAGAUGGACCUGCGUUGUAUUAGCUAGUAGGUGAGGUAACGGCUCACCUAGGCGACGAUACAUAGCCGACCUGAGAGGGUGAUCGGCCACACUGGGACUGAGACACGGCCCAGACUCCUACGGGAGGCAGCAGUAGGGAAUCUUCGGCAAUGGACGAAAGUCUGACCGAGCAACGCCGCGUGAGUGAAGAAGGUUUUCGGAUCGUAAAGCUCUGUUGUAAGAGAAGAACGGGUGUGAGAGUGGAAAGUUCACACUGUGACGGUAUCUUACCAGAAAGGGACGGCUAACUACGUG